GACGAACGCUGGCGGCGUGCUUAACACAUGCAAGUCGAACGGAAAGGCCCUGCUUUUGUGGGGUGCUCGAGUGGCGAACGGGUGAGUAACACGUGAGUAACCUGCCCUUGACUUUGGGAUAACUUCAGGAAACUGGGGCUAAUACCGGAUAGGAGCUCCUGCUGCAUGGUGGGGGUUGGAAAGUUUCGGCGGUUGGGGAUGGACUCGCGGCUUAUCAGCUUGUUGGUGGGGUAGUGGCUUACCAAGGCUUUGACGGGUAGCCGGCCUGAGAGGGUGACCGGCCAAAUGGGGACGGGAAAAGGGCCCAAACCCCAAGGGGGGGCAGGGGGGGGGAAUAUUGCAAAAGGGGGGGAGGCCGGAGGCAGAAACGCCGGGGGGGGGAGGACGGCCUUGGGGUGGGAAACCGCUUUCGCCGGUGACGAAGGGGGGGGGAGGGAAAUGGGGAAAAAAGCACCGGCAAAUUAGGG
rnacentral:rRNA from 1 species